AGCGCAUGGGAAGCGCCCGGACUCGGCGGCGGCCGAGUUGACGCGGAGGAGGUUGGCGAAAGAUUCGGCGGAUGCCUCCCGGCGCCAAUCCGAUCGCGCCGCAAGCGAAGCCUGAAAUCCACCGGGCGACCGGUGGGACAGAGGCGAGCAGAUCGGAUGAA
rnacentral:ncRNA from 2 species